CGCGUAGGCGGUUAUGCAAGUCGGAGGUGAAAUCCCUCGGCUCAACCGAGGAACUGCCUCCGAAACUGCAUAACUCGAGUCCCGGAGAGGGUAGCGGAAUUCCCAGUGUAGCGGUGAAAUGCGUAGAUAUUGGGAGGAACACCAGUGGCGAAGGCGGCUACCUGGACGGGUACUGACGCUGAGGCGCGAAAGCGUGGGGAGCAAACAGGAUUAGAUACCCUGGUAGUCC
rnacentral:rRNA from 1 species